AAUUUAAUUCCAAAUGAAAGUCUAUAUAUAACUUUAUGAUCUAAUUUUUAAGACAAGCUUUAAACAUGUACUGAUAAAGUCAAACUAACAGAUUCAACCUUAGUCCUCACAACUAAUUGCAAUUUCCUAUCAGAAAGUUCUUCACAAUGUAUUCAAA